GUUCGCUGCCUUCGUGUCGUCACGCAGGCCUCUGUAUGGGUUGGAGAUGCAGGCUGCACUGAAGAGGGUAGCCUACUCACCUAAGCCUGUAUUUCCAGCCCGCAGCAGAGCCUCUAGACCAGCUCCUUCCACACAGACAUCUGUGGAGCCUACCGAUGAGGAGCUGGUCCAGGCUGCUGGCGACAUGGAGGAAUAUGAACCUGAAGUGAAACAG